GCAUUGGUGGUUCAAUGGUAGCAUUCUUUCCCCCCACCCAGGAGACCUGGGUUCGAUUCCUGGCCAGUGCA
rnacentral:tRNA from 1 species